rnacentral:sRNA from 1 species
AGAGAGGCGUUCUUUUUUUAUCUCGAUAAUCAAAAUUUUAAUAUUUGCACUGUGUGUGGCAACGCACAACUCACGAGCUCCCCUUCGUUGGCAAAUUUGGCGGUGUGUCACGGUUUUCGCGGUCCUGGCUGCAAAUACGGGCGAGUUAUAGGAUCCGUGCUCUCGGUGGGGUAACCGCCGAGCGCUGUAAAUUAUCUAAUUUUCAAUGUCGGUUCGGUUCCCAGCCGCCCCCAUUUGGGGUGCUGAUUGGAUUUCAGUAUUGUUCCUAAUCUCCGCCCCACGCGCCUGCCACCCUGCCACACAAUUUGGUUGUUUGCAUUCGAUUUGUUCCUCGCCAGGGUGUUUCGUUAUCUCUUAUUAUACUAAUUUCUGGCCAUAUUGCAAACAGUGUUCCAUCUAAAGGUAAUUUUGUUUAAUUUGAAGCCACAACUUAAGCACUUUUGGCAUCGUAAACUUAAGAACAAGACCCAUUCUUCUUGUCACGGCCAUAAAGUGGACAAUUCAGGUGAACUAUGGAGUGUUGAUAAGCCAAAGGUUCUAGCACAGCACAUGUGUGCGAGCCCAUAUCCAGUCACCUGCCAGACCCAAAUCCAGCCGUGACUGCCGAUGUGAGGGCCGUUUAAUAAGGCACGGAUUAUCGCCCGGCAUUAUUUCAAUCACAUACCAAGUGUCGAGUAUUUAGCAGACAAGGAGCACGCGCUCGCCUCCACUGCCCGUUCCAUUUCCAGGGUACCAUCCCUGCUCCUGUCAGGCCGAGGCGUCAGUUGACGUCGGGAGCGGGGCGGAGCGGUCCUUCCUAAAAAGCCAAUAAAAAUACUUUGUUUGACAAAUAAAA